GCUCAAGACCUGAAUGAGCCAUCUUGUCUGCCUCCCUCUGUUCUUCCAUAUCCAGGUGGAAGCGGUAGAGGCUGUAGCCAUCAGAACUGUUGAUGCUGCUGUUGCGGAACAAGCCAGAUGGGUCGCGCAGGGACGAGACCCGGGAGAGCGUGCAGGCGCAUGGACAUGUUUUCAACCCUGAGUCCAACAAAAAGAAGAGGAAUUUUAAGAAAAGGUUUCUCAACUCAUCUGGAGUGAGCCUCAGCUCUGUGAAAAACAUCAGUAUUGCUUUGGGAAUCCUCAGGAAAAUGCUUCAUGACGGAACAGCCUGUUGAAGAUGAUGUAGAGGUGGCUGAAGAUAAUGAGAGGGGGAGGCAGAAUGGGCCGGUCAUGGAAGGUCAUG